rnacentral:rRNA from 1 species
GAGUUUGAUCGUGGCUCAGAUUGAACGCUGGCGGCAUGCCUUACACAUGCAAGUCGAACGGCAGCAUGAUCUAGCUUGCUAGAUUGAUGGCGAGUGGCGAACGGGUGAGUAAUACAUCGGAACGUGCCCUGUAGUGGGGGAUAACUAGUCGAAAGAUUAGCUAAUACCGCAUACGACCUGAGGGUGAAAGUGGGGGACCGCAAGGCCUCAUGCUAUAGGAGCGGCCGAUGUCUGAUUAGCUAGUUGGUGGGGUAAAGGCCCACCAAGGCGACGAUCAGUAGCUGGUCUGAGAGGACGAUCAGCCACACUGGGACUGAGACACGGCCCAGGACUCCUACGGGAGGCAGCGAGUGGGGAAUUUUGGACAAUGGGCGAAAGCCUGAUCCAGCAAUGCCGCGUGUGUGAA